CCCUUAGAUGUUCUGGGCCGCACGCGCGCUACACUGAUGCAUUCAACGAGCCUAUCCUUGACCGACAGGUCCGGGUAAUCUUUGAAUCUGCAUCGUGACGGGGAUAGAUUAUUGCAAUUAUUAAUCUUCAACGAGGAAUACCUAGUAGGCGCAAGUCAUCAGCUUGCGUCGAUUACGUCCCUGCCCUUUGUACACACCGCCCGUCGCUCCUACCGAUUGGGUGUGCUGGUGAAAUGUUCGGAUCGGCCGUUUGUCGCGGUUUCCGCGUCAUGUGGCUGAGAAGUUCAUUAAACCCUCCCACCGAGAGGAAGGAGAAGUCGUAACA
rnacentral:rRNA from 1 species